rnacentral:lncRNA from 1 species
CAUUUUUCCUAUAUAACUAACCCCCUUGAGAGUUGAGAUUUUUCAUAAUUAUCCCUACUCUACUCUACUUUGUUAAUUAAUGAGAUUAUUUAUCGUCUCUUGUAUGGAAAUGAAUUACAUAUGGAGUGAGUGAAGGCUAAAGUCUUUUUUAUUUAGUAAAUAUUAUCAAUUUUUUCCAUCCUUGCCUUCAACGAAUUCGAGUACUUGUAGCCAACCAGUGUAAGUUGGUUUUA